rnacentral:rRNA from 1 species
AUUGAACGCUGGCGGCAGGCCUAACACAUGCAAGUCGAGCGGAUGCAGGGAGCUUGCUCCUGGAUUCAGCGGCGGACGGGUGAGUAAUGCCUAGGAAUCUGCCUGGUAGUGGGGGAUAACGUCCGGAAACGGGCGCUAAUACCGCAUACGUCCUGAGGGAGAAAGUGGGGGAUCUUCGGACCUCACGCUAUCAGAUGAGCCUAGGUCGGAUUAGCUAGUUGGUGGGGUAAAGGCCUACCAAGGCGACGAUCCGUAACUGGUCUGAGAGGGUGAUCAGUCACACUGGAACUGAGACACGGUCCAGACUCCUACGGGAGGCAGCAGUGGGGAAUAUUGGACAAUGGGCGAAAGCCUGAUCCAGCCAUGCCGCGUGUGUGAAGAAGGUCUUCGGAUUGUAAAGCACUUUAAGUUGGGAGGAAGGGCAGUAAGUUAAUACCUUGCUGUGUUGACGUUACCAACAGAAUAAGCACCGGCUAACUUCGUG